CCUACGGGUGGCAGCAGUAGGGAAUAUUGCUCAAUGGGGGAAACCCUGAAGCAGCAACGCCGCGUGGAGGAUGAAGGUUUUCGGAUUGUAAACUCCUUUUGUUAGAGAAGAUAAUGACGGUAUCUAACGAAUAAGCACCGGCAAAACCCGGGCCAGCAGCCGCGGUAAUACGGAGGGUGCAAGGGUUACUCGGAAUCACUGGGCGUAAAGAGCGAGUAGGCGGGAUAGCAAGUCAGAUGUGAAAUCCUAGGGCUUAACCAUAGAACUGCAGUUGAAACUGUUAUUCUAGAGUAUGGGAGAGGUAGGUGGAAUGCUUGGUGUAGGGGUAAAAUCCGUAGAGAUCAAGAGGAAUACUCAUUGCGAAGGCGACCUGCUAGAACAUAACUGACGCUGAUGCGCGAAAGCGUGGGGAGCAAACAGGAUUAGAUAUCCGUGUAGUC
rnacentral:rRNA from 1 species